CUUCGCAAUAAUUGAAUAACACCCAGCAGACUCACUUUGGAAAAUACGGAAAUUCUUGGACCUGAUUUCAGGCUCACUGAAAAAGCAGGUCUGGAGUUGGGGCCUGGGAAAUUGCUUUCUGAACAAAAUUCCCACAUGGAUCAUGGCACACAUAUAAGUGAGAACCGCUGGCCCAGUGUGUACCAACCUGCAGUGGAAGUUUUAAAUGCAAUAUAAAUAAACAAAAUAUUAAAGCUCCAAGACAGCUACCAAACUUCCUUUCUUCACUCUAUUAGAUGAUUGGGUGGAAAACUGGAUUGUAAGGGAAUGAGAGGAAUAUGGCAUCGUCAAACUAUGUUUCCAUGGAAGUUUUCAUCAGAAGCCAUAGUAAUAAAAUUAUUUCUAAAAGUAUAAAUUUCAUAAAGUCAUGUAAAUCCAGGAUGGGACCUGUGCGGAGAGGCACAGAAAGGAGAUGGCUGUCAGACACAGAGUAGAAGGUCCUCAACCCUGACUUUUCCUCCAAAAGCCUCAUUUCUAUUAAAAGACAAAGAGAGAGAGGCCAAUGCACAGAUGCGUUCUGAAUUAAUCUCCAAGAAGAAAGCAUUCACCGAUCCCUGCAAGACAGCUCCUUGCAACAGGCUUUGCACUUCACAACUAUCAAGACACUCAGGAAAGCCCUGGAUAGAACGGAUGCCUCCUCUUCUCCAGCAAAUGAGCCAUGAUGAAUGAUGGGAGAGCCCUCUGGGCCGCUGGGGUCUGGCCCCGCUAUUUAUCUGCACAAGUUGUGAACCAGCCUGCAUCCUUCUUUACCCUGUACCUCUGACCUCACGUUAGUGAGACAAAUAUAUUUGUUGCCUCUGCUGCUCCCUAAGUCUCAGCAUCGCCACACUAUACAUGACUUAUGGUUCACUAAUUCCAGUGUCCUUUUUCUGUCAGAGAUGAUAAAUGGAAUGGAAUAUUUGUCAGCCAUACAGUGUUAGGGCUGUGUCCCGCUGAUGUCUAAUAUCUCUUAACCUGUAUGGUGAAUUGUUUAAAACAAUCUGGAAUCACUUUGUAUGUUCAGUCAUUUCAAAUCUUAGGUCAGUAUCGAUGUGGAUAGGAUGCUUUUCGCUUUCUGCCACUUGCCUUAAAAUUGUUUAGCUCUUGGAAGUGGUACCUUGUGAACAUCCCUUUUGUCUGGUGAAGGGGAAAUGGGGAGAACAAUGACCUCAGAGUCAGGGACCUGAGUUCUCUUCCAAUCAUUAAGUUCCUGACUUCUGAGUGAUCUUGGAGGAAUAUCUACCUAAUAUAUAUAUUUUUAAUCUCAUCUGACAAAUGGAGUAAUAAACAUUGACCUCCCCAUAUUAUUACUAUUCUAAGGUCUUAGUUAAAAAAAUGAGUGGAAAUUUAUAUUAUUAGUUAAUGAACUUAAUUCACAUUCCAUACAAAAUCAUUUUCAAAAAAUUUUAUAGUCAUAUUUUAAAUUACCUCUACUAAUUACAUGUAUCAAAGUACUACAUGGCAUGGUAAAAGAAAUCUGUAGAAUUUUAAUGAAAAGUAACAAUCCCCCCCCCCAUUGCUACUUGCCUGAAGACUCUCUCCCUGGAAGCUUUUCAAUUGAUAAUUUUUGGCUUUGAAUUUUAAUGAUUUCUGUUUUUAAAUGUGUUGGGUGUUGCUUCAUAGGUGUUAAGUAA